GAUGAACGCUGGCGGCGUGCCUAAUACAUGCAAGUCGAGCGAACGGACGAGAAGCUUGCUUCUCUGAUGUUAGCGGCGGACGGGUGAGUAACACGUGGAUAACCUACCUAUAAGACUGGGAUAACUUCGGGAAACCGGAGCUAAUACCGGAUAAUAUUUUGAACCGCAUGGUUCAAAAGUGAAAGACGGUCUUGCUGUCACUUAUAGAUGGAUCCGCGCUGCAUUAGCUAGUUGGUAAGGUAACGGCUUACCAAGGCAACGAUGCAUAGCCGACCUGAGAGGGUGAUCGGCCACACUGGAACUGAAACACGGUCCAGACUCCUACGAGAGGCAGCAGUAGGGAAUCUUCCGCAAUAGGCGAAAGCCUGACGGAGCAACGCCGCGUGAGUGAUGAAGGUCUUCGGAUCGUAAAACUCUGUUAUUAGGGAAGAACAUAUGUGUAAGUAACUGUGCACAUCUUGACGGUACCUAAUCAGAAAGCCACGGCUAACUACGUG
rnacentral:rRNA from 1 species